UUAGAUAAUCUCCAAAGGUUGACCAAAAAAAGAGAAGAAAAGUCCAAAGAUUUGAAAAGUAUAAAGCCCCAAAGGGCGCUCAAAGCCAAGAAGAGACUUUCAAGAGAGAGAGAGAGAGAUCCACUCCCGCAUUUUCAGACUUCCAGGAUUGAAGUGAAGGAGUGAAGUUUUUCAAGCAUCCAAUCCAUGGCGUACAGCUCCAGUCCUCAACGCCUCCUCCAUCUGUUAUCUCUCAUCCUUCUUCUCUUCGCCUUUUGUUCCAUCUCAGAAUCAAGCCUGGUACUCCUCGAUUCACCCUCCACUUUCUGUUUGGUUCCCGAGAAAAACAAAAUAAAAAACAAAAAGUCUUAGUCUUUGAUUAUUUUGUUAUUUCAACGUGUGUCAGUUUUGCGAUGCUGGAUUUGGAUAUGGCGAGUCGUGUGGCGUUUCUUCGUCUUCGUCGACCAAGUUGUUGAUCAAAGGCGGAACUGUAGUGAAUGCUCAUGAGAUGGAGGUCGCUGAUGUUUAUGUGGAGGAUGGAAUCAUUGUUGCUGUUAGGCCUAAUAUUAAGGUGCAAUAUUUCAGUCUCUGUUUCUUUAUUCGGUAUUUUUGUAAAAAUUGGAUGAAUUUCAUUGGUAUGUUGUAGUUGAGCUUGCUGGUCAUUGAUUUUCUAAAUCUUUAACCACUAUUUUCUUUUUCCAAAUAUUUUUGUCCCUGCAAAUGGGGUGGAGGUUCUAGUUUUUAGUUACUAGAAGUGGCUCAUAACUUCUUAAGUAACAAGCUGAUAUUGGAGGUCUAGUUAUAACUUGUAGAUAGGAUAUUGAGAUUGGUAGGUUUGAUUUGAUGUAUAUGCUUGAUACUUUGGGGGCCUUAGGGGCAGUGAAGGAUGUGGGUUUUGCAUUUUCUGUAGUUUUCCAAUCCGUGCGGACCUGUUUCCUACUAGUUUCUUUAUUAGUUCUGGACUACUGGAGCAAUGCAAUCCUCUGUCCCCAUUUCUUUUCCAACUAAUAAUACAAUUCGUAAAUGUGAUUAUAGGAUGAGUUUUUAAAUUCAUCUCAAUCAGUUUUAUGGUGUGGUAUUUAGGCACAGUGGAUAUGGUUAUCUCUUUUCUUCCUUUCAGUCUCUUGUUAUUUUUGGAGAAAUUUGAGAGAGGUUUUGUCAUGGAAGGUAGUUGAAAAGAUUAUUUAAAUUUUGGUGCAAGGUUAGUUCCUCCCUAUGUUCUAAGUUCUUUGUCGAUGUGCUUUAAUAUUGGAUUGCCAAUUGAUGUUGUGUUAAAGAGAAUAUAGAAGUGUAUAUAAGGGCAAGGCAGCUCUUAUUAAGAGUUUCAUCCUGAGGUUUUCCAAUCAAAUCCAUGCAAAAGGAGUGCCUAAGAUGUGAUUGAGAUUUUCUUGUGGAUGAAAUGUAUGCGGUGUUGAUUUGGCAUUAGUGAGGAUGCUUUGGCAAAAGCAUAUUUUCAAAAGAAUCAUUUCAUGAUGAGGAUGAGGCCUGCAGACGUGGUUAGUUAUAUGGUCUGGUCUUUUGUAAAACCUCACUGGUUCCAAAGCUUGCAGAUUAGUCCUGAUUCUUGUGGCAGAGUAUCCUGUCUACUAAAGAUUUUGAAAAAGUUGUUUUCUUAGAAGAAAUUGCCUUUUUCUUUUAUGUAAAAUAAUCAAGGAUAUUUUUGAUCUCUUGCAUAAACUUAAGAUGGUGGUCUAGGAAGCAUGGGUGUCUAUGACCAGGAGAUACCUAUAGAUAAAUUCAUUUUUAUGUAGAAUUGACAAGGACAAACUAUAACUCUAGUCACACCUAUAUAUUAAUUAAGUUUAAGUUGACUUUUAACUUCUGUAUAUAUAAUGAGAUUUUUUUAUAUAAAGCCAAUGUCAAAAUAUAUGUAUAAUAGACAACUUUUAUGACCAAUCUUUGGUUCGCUCAAAUCAUUCUCCUGUAAAUUAGUGUUUGAGAGAACAUUAAAACUGAUGAUUUUCAAACUAUUUUCAGUUACAAUAUCAUAAAAUUAGAGAAUGGAAUACAAUACUUCUUCCAAAAUCUCAUAAAUCAUGAAAUUAUUAGUACAACCCCACUAACUCUAGAAUUUGGAGAAAAACUUUGGUUGCCGAAGAUCAAUCUUAUAUGAAUUUGAAUGAAAUAGUAAUUGCACUUGCAGUAUCACAGAAAAUGAAGUGCUCUGUAUCCGAUUUUUGGGGUAUAUAUUUAUUGAAAUGAAAGUGUAAUGGUCUUGAUCUAAAUUACUCAGAGCGAUGUAGAGAAUGUUAUCUAUCUAAAUCACUUUUCAUUUGUGCUGAGUUCUUUAUCUCCUAUUUACUCUUUAUAUUAUCUUUUAUUUCUUUAUGCUCUACUUGAUUUGAUGUCAUAUUACCCUGUCUUUUUAAAAAAAUUGCCAUUGGCAGGUUGGUGAUGAUGUCACUGUGCUUGAUGCCACUGGAAAGUUUGUCAUGCCAGGUUAGUUUCAUACGACACCUAUGUGAUAGAUUACUACAGCUUUUAACUAUUCGGAGUUGGGGGAGUCUAUAAUAAGGGACACAAUGUGCAAGUCAUGAAUGAUGUAGGAUAUGGGUGAAUUGAGUAUUUAGGUAGUUUGGUGGAAGCGAAAACAAUGGAAAACAGAAAAUAGAACAAAAGGGAUUGGUCUGGAAUCACUCCAGGGGUUUGGCUUCACACCAAGUAGUCUCCAAUCUCUGGAAAAUAAGCUUUUCUUUAUAUCUCAACAACUCAACUCCAUAAUGAAUUACAUAGACUGGGUAUUUAUAAUAAUCUAACCCUAGAGUGAAAAGAAAAAUUAAACUUAUUCUAGGAAAGAAAUCCUAAUCCAAAUAAAAUAGGAAACUUAGAAAUCCUACUGAAAUCUGGAAAAACUAAAAAUCCUAAUGAAAUCUGGAAAUCUUAGAGACCCUAGGAACUAACAAAUAAAUUAGGAAACUAAUUAAUAAUUCCCUCUUCCAUCUCUUUCGUUUGUAAACCCUAAUGGGUUUGACAAAGAUGUCCUCAUCAAUGAAUAAAAGUUUUAUGUUUAAAGCUCCCAAUACUGUUUUCUGCACAGGCUUCACCUUUUGGGGUCUAUCAUGUUGUUUCAAGCUUUUCUUGUUAUGUAUACUGGUAUUUGGAUUUCUGUUCUUCAUUAUUAAAUAUCCCUAAUAGUGAAAUAUGACUGUCGUUCUUUAGGGGCCAAUCAGUGUUCUCUAAACUUUAAUUUGUUUAACAUUAACAGGAGGCAUUGAUCCUCAUACCCACCUAGACAUGGAGUUCAUGGGUUCAGGAACCAUUGAUGAUUUCUUCAGUGGUCAGGCUGCGGCGUUAGCUGGUGGAACAACAAUGCACAUUGACUUUGUUAUACCAGUUAAUGGAAGUUUAUUGUCAGGAUUAGAAGCUUAUGAAAAAAAGUCUAAGAAGUCCUGCAUGGAUUAUGGUUUCCAUAUGGCAAUUACAAAAUGGGAUGAAGUUGUUUCAAAAGAAAUGGAAAUAAUGGUCAAUGAGAAAGGUUAGUCAUAUGUAUUUCCAGGUUUUAUUGAGUGAGCUUAAUUGUUGGCCAUGCUAAGUUUUAUGAAAUUUAUUUGUAUUUACAAUUUGUGAACUUAAUUCAGGUAUAAACUCUUUCAAGUUUUUCAUGGCAUACAAGGGGUCUUUUAUGAUCAAUGAUGAGCUUCUGCUACAAGCAUUCAAAAAGUGCAAGUCUCUUGGUGCGUUAGCUAUGGUUCAUGCAGAAAAUGGAGAUGCUGUAUAUGAAGGACAGAGAAGAAUGAUAGAACUUGGUAUUACUGGUCCAGAGGGACAUGCUCUUUCAAGGCCCCCAGUGGUAAUUAUAGAAAUAAAUUCAUGGUGCAAACAUAACUUGGAUAAGAUGAAAGCGUGGUUUUUUUUUUCCUAUUGUGCAAACAUAACUUUGAUAUUAAUUAGUAAUUAUUAAAUGCGCAUUUGUUAUGCUGUAAUAUUUAAUGCCUCUAUGCAUUGCCUUGUAGCAACCAUAACAUAAUAGUUAUUAAUCUUACAAUUCAAUAGUACUUUAUAUUCCAUACCUACCUGGUAUGAAUAUUUUAUUUUUAUUUAUCAGUCCAUAUUUUUAUGGGUAAACUUUCUUCUGCAAUCAUGACAUAGAUAUGGUAGCAAUCCUAAUUCUGGGUGAGGCUCUUGUUUCUUUCUUUGAAACUAAGAAGAUGUUCUCGUUCUCACUAUAUUGGAAAAACUAGUUAAAAACUUUCUUAGAGAUUGAGGAAAGAUGCCCAUCCAGUUAUGCUGUUUUCAUGUUAUCAGGUUGAACUUUUGUAAAAGAGUUUGGUUUUGUUGCCCUCACUGUUUUAGAAAGACUACAACAAGUAGGAUACAUGCUUCUAAUCUGAUCCCCUUUCCAGCUGCAUGCAAAGUAAUGAUUGUCUAAAAUUUGGUCCUUUAGUAAUGAAUAUGCAAUUAUUUAGGCAGGUAUCUUUUUAUGCUGAUGUCAUAUUAAUGGAAAUUCAUUUGUUAUAUUUGUUCUGUGGUUCUUUAAAUUAUCUAAUAGUUAUUUGCAAGUAUGUUAAUGAGCAUAUGAUCAAUGUCUGAUUCAACUUAAAUAACAAUGCAGCUGGAAGGAGAAGCAACUGCUCGAGCAAUUAAACUCGCAGCUUUUGUGAACACUCCCCUCUAUGUAGUUCACGUGAUGAGCAUUGAUGCUAUGGAAGAAAUUUCUAAAGCUCGUAAAUCAGGUUCUUUGUGUUUUACAUUUCUUGCUCUGCUGAUAAAUUUAGCAGGACUAUGUUUUUUUCUUUUUUCGAUUGGGGACUAUCUUGUUAUUGAUAACUAGAAUUUCUACUAUUUCAUUGGUUUGUUUAUUUAGUUACAAUUUGUGUAAAUAAGCAUUAAACUCUCCUUUUUUUCUCAGAACUAUACAUUAAUUGCCUAAGUAAAUAGCUUCGGCAGUUGGUCUUGGUAUACAACAAAUUCAUUCUCUAACAUUACCGUGUCAUGUCGGAAUCAUGUUCAACCACCUUUCCCAAGGUUCCAUAGUGUGCUGUGGACUGACUCUAUAUCACCUGUAUUUUGUAUCCUAAUUCAAUGACAAACCAAUUUCCAAAAAUUUUGAUUUGUUGAAGUGGCGUCACAAAGAAUAUGCUGCAAGAGUUUAUGAUACCCAGCCAGCGUGCAUUUUAGCAACUGCAAAGAAUUUCUUAUAUAAUUGUCAAUUCUGAUAUGUGUUGAUUCAUGGUAGCAUAGAGACCAAAAAGCUCAAGCGAAGGCUAAUAGAAAGAACACAAUGAACAAACUGUAAAAGAAACUUAUGGACAGACUUCCACAAAUACGUGUAUUAAUAAAGAUAGAUGAAGCUGAUUAAGAUGGCAUAUAAACUCUAGACAUUUUUUCCAGACAGUAUCCUGUUUCUUUUUUACCUAUCAUUUUGGGAAGGGAAAAAAAAUGACUCUCUUAAAACUGCAGGGCUGAAGGUUAUUGGAGAACCAGUAGUUUCUGGGUUAGUGCUGAAUGAUUCUUGGCUUUGGGAUCCUGAUUUUAUCACUGCCGCUAAGUAGGAGGCUGCACUUUUUGUUAUAGUCUUCUUUAUUGAAUUUUUUCAAUGUUCUGUCAGUCAAAUAGAGCCAUGUUAAGCAUAGCCGCCUUCUGAAAAUUCAGGUAUGUCAUGAGUCCCCCUAUAAGGGCCGCAGGACAUGGCAAAGCCCUUCAAGCUGCUCUUUCAAUGGGAACUCUGCAGGUGUCUCUCUUAUUCAACCUUAUUUAAGAAUUAUAUAAGAAUUAUCUGAUUUGGUCCAUAUUGCUUCUUGGUACUGCAAUGAUUUAUUUCAUAGCUUUGAAAGGAUGGGGAGAACUAGUAAGGAGUUAUUGUAAAUGAUGAGACAAGUUUAUGAUUGUCCAUUGACAUUGUGUUCAUAACCAGACUUUGAUAAAACAUGACGGGACAUAUACUAUUCAGCUGCCUAAACUUUUGUUUGUUUUUUAUAGCUUUGAAAGGAUGGGGACAACUACUAAGGAGUUAUUGUAAAUGGAGACAAGUUUGUGGUUGUCCCUUGACAUUGUAUUCAGAACAGAUUUUGAUCAAACAUGAGGGGAUAUAUACUAUUCAGCUGCCUAAACUUUUGUUUUUUUGGUGUGUGGAUAAUUUAGCUACCUGAACUUAAUGGUGAACAUAUUUGUUUUAAGAAAGUAUAGAUUGACCUAGAUUUUGCAAUGUGCAGCUUGUAGGAACCGAUCAUUGUACCUUCAACUCAACACAGAAAGCUCUUGGAAUUGAUGAUUUCCAGAAAAUUCCAAAUGGUGUCAAUGGUAGUCACAGAAAUGGUCUUUGAUUUUGUUCAACUAAGAUAUAUGCUCUGUUUUCUAUGACAAUUUCAGUUUCUAAUACUUAACACGGCAACUGGAAAUUAGGUAUUGAGGAGAGGAUGCAUCUUGUAUGGGAUACAAUGGUGGUAAGCGGCCAUAAAAUUCCUGCUCAUCCCCUAAAUAAGCAGCUUAAAUUAGAAUCAGUGUUUUGGAUAAUCUUUUAUUUUUUUAAAUUUCUGUGCCUACUUUCAGGAAUCCGGUCAAAUUUCUGUUACUGACUAUGUCCGGGUGACGAGUACCGAAUGGUAUUCUUGCAGCGAAUUGUGUUUACUAUAAAUUCCCAUUAUGCUGCCUAAAGUACGUUAAAAUGAUUUCAACGUCCACAAAAUUUUCAGUGCUAGGAUUUUCAAUAUAUAUCCGAGGAAGGGAGCAAUUCGUGCCGGUUCGGAUGCAGAUAUAAUUAUACUCAAUCCGAACUCAAGCUUUGAAAUAAGUGCAAAGUCCCACCACUCUAGAUCUGAUACCAAUGUCUACGAGGGAUGGAGAGGGAAGGUAAUAUUUGUCACACAAAGGAUUUUAUUUUUCCAUAAGAUAGUAUGUUAUUACUUUAGAAUUAGGAAGCUACUGCUCCCUCUUUGGGGAGACCUUGGUGGCUAUGAUCUACUGACAUGGAUACGUGUGUCAAGUGUUGACUUGGAUUUGUGGUAUCUGAUCUGAGAAAGAAACAAAAACGAGAUGAGGUGUCUGAAAUGACAUAUAUUAUAUGUGUGUGUAUUAAAUGCAUUCCCAGAUAAUGGAUACUAUUAAAUGUAAUUUGAAACAAAUUGUUUGAUGUCAAACCCAUAUGUGAUACAACGAAUUUGAUAUUGAACUGAUUCUGUAUCUAGCAGCCUAAAUGGCCUUUAAAAUUAGACUUGGUCAUUUUGGAAUUAGUUUUAUCUGGGAUUGUGGAUUUUAAUUUAAUACUUCCUUUUAGUAGCCAAAAAACUAUUUUUUAACAUAAGUUCUCCUUCAUUAAAAAGAUUCAUGUAGGUGGAAUUGAAAAGAGCAUUAUUAAAAUUUUGAAGUCCCAUUGUUGGGUCAAAAUAAGUAAAACAAUUGCUGUAGGAGUUUGAUAUCUCGUAUAAAAUUCCUGCAAUCAUGACAAUUGACUAGACUAAGUAACACUAAAGUGCAAUUAUAGCUUUCAAAAUCUACAUGGUAAUCAUAAUAUAUUGAAGAAAAUUAUCUAUUUAGAUAAUAGUAAAUAUGUCAAAGUUCAAAUCCCUCUUUUAUUUAUUUAUUAUUUAUGUUUGAAUAAUGAAAUGUAUAUGUGGAUUUUAUUAACAUAUCGAAUUAAUAUAUUUUUUUUUCUAAAGUUAAAUUAAACAAUUUACACUAAAAGCUCCGAUCCAAUUCACUUCUUUCAGAUUUACAUUACACCUAAGCUGCUUGACUUAGUAGUUAAUAUAGUUAGGCUGUUAUUAGCCAAAAUUUAGACAGCCUCAUAUUCAUCAAAAUAAGAAGAGAAUACAAUGUUAAUUUCAAGAAUUGGCUGGUUAACUUAUGCAAAGCAGCGCGUGUUUAUUCUGUUUAUAUUUCUAAUUUUCAGUCUAUAUGAGGCAUAUAAGAAUUAUCGGUGGCAUUAAUGCACUUUUAUUUUACAUUUUAGUGCAUUAUAUGAUUGGACAUGACCAUGACAGCCUACUUUUCUCUUUCUCUUCUAUUUUAUUCUAUCACUGCAAAUAACAACCACUUCAAAAAGAUAUUGAAUAUUAAGAACGUUGGUCUUCUCAAAUGCAACAUUUUGAUGUAGCAGGAAUAGAUACUUCCUAAGGUUUUUCCAAUUUGACUAGAAUUUUGCUAUUUUCUUUUUACGAAAUUCUAUGUUUCCUUUAGCCUAAGGAUUUUUCGCUUAUUUAUGCCCCUUUUUUUCUCAAAAAAGGAUGUUUAGCGUAUUUAAAUGGUGUUCUAAAGAUAGAUUUGUUUCUUUUCUGCUACCAUUAUUCUUGGUAUUUUAUUGGUGAAUCAACAAGGUUGGUACCAUAGUUUUGACCUCACUUUAUUCCUUGAGGACGUCCAAAAGGGGAGAGCCCAUUAUCUUCCAUAUAUAAUGGCCAUCCUCACCCUCUCAUUGGAACUCUCUUGGAUUCACUCUCUCAAAAGUCUCUCAUGCCUCAAUGUAAAUAUAACACUUAUUACAUAGUGAAAACUGACAUGGAUGUAGCACGAAUUCGGUGAGCCAUGAUAAAUCUCGUGUGUUCUUGGUGUGAUUAUGUGAUUCACGGUUUUUAAGUUCUAUUCACAGUAUUUUCAUGGGAAAUCAACAGGUUCCAAGGAAGAUUGUGGAUUGUUAUAUAUUUUUUAUUGUAGUUAUAUGCUUCCCUGUAUUAUCCUUCUAUUCUUUGCCCCCGUGUGUGGUAUUUUCCCCUCAAACUUUUCUCCAGUUUGUACAUACACAACAAAAUAUAUUUGCAUUCAUAAAGUUUCAUUCUUAUACGUGUGUGUGGAUUGAGCUUGUACAAAGCCUGUGUAAUACUGUGCGUGCAUUCAUGUGGCAUUUUUAUGGUAUGCCAGACAUUAAAAGUUCAUAUUACAUUUUUUCUGGGAAGGUUGAAGUGACAAUGUUCUAUUUUCGCAGGGAAAGGUUGAAGUGACCAUUUCUGGUGGAAGGGUUGUUUGGUUAAAUGAUGAGUUGAAGGUUUUUCCUGGUUCUGGCAAGUACGUAGAAAUGCGACCUUUCAGUUAUCUUUUCAAUGGAAUUGGCAAGGCAGAUGCAAAAUAUCUAUCUUCUCUUAAAGCCCCUGUAAAGCGUUUCAGAGCUACCACUUAAAAAGCUCAGGUACUUCUUUCCUUUUCGACUAUUAUUAUUUAAACUUGAGGUGUAAAUGGACUUGAUACUCCUGUAUAUAUGGCAAAUGGUUUGAAUAAUAAGAUCAAAGUUUCUAUUUUUGUUGUACCAUGUGUGUGAAUUCACUUUAAAGUCAAUAAAUAAUAUUCUUGUUGCAGUUUGCAGUUGGCAAUUUAUUUGAAUGGAUAAGUUUAUAUUAACCAACUUCAUUUGUGUCGUAACUUACUUUGUUAAUGAUAUAGGCUGUUGACGAUGUGUUACAUUUGUUUAAUCUAAGUGUUGGAUUGUCUUAAUUGAAGGCUCAUUGUGUUGGCUUCAUUUGAGGCUGGUUCUUUGUAGAGCAUAAUACUAGG
rnacentral:lncRNA from 1 species